rnacentral:rRNA from 1 species
AGAGUUUGAUCAUGGCUCAGGACGAACGCUGGCGGCGUGCUUAACACAUGCAAGUCGAGCGGUAAGGCCCUUCGGGGUACACGAGCGGCGAACGGGUGAGUAACACGUGAGCAAUCUGCCCUUCACUUUGGGAUAACCACCGGAAACGGUGGCUAAUACCGGAUACGACCAUCCCCGGCAUCGGGUGGUGGUGGAAAGUUCUGGCGGUGGGGGAUGAGCUCGCGGCCUAUCAGCUUGUUGGUGGGGUAAUGGCCUACCAAGGCGACGACGGGUAGCCGGCCUGAGAGGGUGACCGGCCACACUGGGACUGAGACACGGCCCAGACUCCUACGGGAGGCAGCAGUGGGGAAUAUUGGACAAUGGGCGAAAGCCUGAUCCAGCAACGCCGCGUGAGGGAUGACGGCCUUCGGGUUGUAAACCUCUUUCACCUGUGACGAAGCGAAAGUGACGGUAGCAGGAGAAGAAGCACCGGCCAACUACGUGCCAGCAGCCGCGGUAAUACGUAGGGUGCGAGCGUUGUCCGGAAUUAUUGGGCGUAAAGGGCUCGUAGGCGGUUUGUCACGUCGGGAGUGAAAACUCGGGGCUUAACCCCGAGCCUGCUUCCGAUACGGGCUGACUAGAGGUAUGCAGGGGAGAACGGAAUUCCUGGUGUAGCGGUGAAAUGCGCAGAUAUCAGGAGGAACACCGGUGGCGAAGGCGGUUCUCUGGGCAUUACCUGACGCUGAGGAGCGAAAGUGUGGGGAGCGAACAGGAUUAGAUACCCUGGUAGUCCACACCGUAAACGUUGGGCGCUAGGUGUGGGACUCAUUCCACGAGUUCCGUGCCGCAGCUAACGCAUUAAGCGCCCCGCCUGGGGAGUACGGGCCGCAAGGCUGAAACUCAAAGGAAUUGACGG